AAUGGUUGUCCUAUCGGCAGGCAAGCCCACCAAGGAAACAAAUAGUACGCAAAAGACAAGGGUUCAGACAGGAGAACCGAAGUUCUCCCCCGAUGAUAUGUGGUAAUGAUCCUUCCGUAGGUGAACCUGCGGAAGGAUCAUUACCACAUAUCAUCGGGGGAGAACUUCGGUUCUCCUGUCUGAACCCUUGUCUUUUGCGUACUAUUUGUUUCCUUGGUGGGCUUGCCUGCCGAUAGGACAACCAUUAAACCUUUUGUAAUUGCAAUCAGCGUCAGAAAAAACAUAAUAAUUACAACUUUCAACAACGGAUCUCUUGGUUCUGGCAUCGAUGAAGAACGCAGCGAAAUGCGAAAAGUAGUGUGAAUUGCAGAAUUCAGUGAAUCAUCGAAUCUUUGAACGCACAUUGCGCCCCUUGGUAUUCCAUGGGGCAUGCCUGUUCGAGCGUCAUUUGUACCUUCAAGCUCUGCUUGGUGUUGGGUGUUUGUCCCGCUUUUUUGCGUGGACUCGCCUCAAAGCAAUUGGCAGCCGGCGUACUAGCCUGGGAGCGCAGCACAUUUUGCGCAUCUCGACUUGAACGCUUGCAUCCAUCAAGUUACUUUUUAACUCUGACUCGGUC
rnacentral:misc_RNA from 1 species